rnacentral:rRNA from 1 species
GACGAACGCUGGCGGCGUGCUUAACACAUUCAAGUCGAACGGAAAGGCCCUGCUUUUGUGGGGUGCUCGAGUGGCGGACGGGUGAGUAACACGUGAGUAACCUGCCCUUGACUUUGGGAUAACUUCAGGAAACUGGGGCUAAUACCGGAUAGGAGCUCCUGCUGCAUGGUGGGGGUUGGAACGUUUCGGCGGUUGGGGAUGGACUCGCGGCUUAUCAGCUUGUUGGUGGGGUAGUGGCUUACCAAGGCUUUGACGGGUCGCCGGCCUGAGAGGGUGACCGGCCACAUUGGGACUGAGAUACGGCCCAGACUCCUACGGGAGGCAGCAGUGGGGAAUAUUGCACAAUGGGCGGAAGCCUGAUGCAGCAACGCCGCGUGCGGGAUGACGGCCUUCGGGUUGUAAACCGCUUUCGCCUGUGACGAAGCGUGAGUGACGGUAAUGGGUAAAGAAGCACCGGCUAACUACGUG